rnacentral:rRNA from 1 species
UAUCAACGCUGAGGUGUGAUGACGAGCCACUACGGUGGUGAAGUAGUUGAUGCCAAGCUUCCAGGAAAAGCCUCUAAGCAUCAGGUGACAUUCAAUCGUACCCCAAACCGACACAGGUGGUCAGGUAGAGAAUACUCAGGCGCUUGAGAGAACUCGGGUGAAGGAACUAGGCAAAAUGGUGCCGUAACUUCGGGAGAAGGCACGCUGGCAUUAGGUAAAGAGACUUGCUCUCGGCGCCGAAGCCAGUCGCAGAUACCAGCUGGCUGCAACUGUUUAAUAAAAACACAGCACUGUGCAAACACGAAAGUGGACGUAUACGGUGUGACGCCUGCCCGGUGCUGGAAGGUUAAUUGAUGGGGUCAGCCGCAAGGCGAAGCUCUUGAUCGAAGCCCCAGUAAACGGCGGCCGUAACUAUAACGGUCCUAAGGUAGCGAAAUUCCUUGUCGGGUAAGUUCCGACCUGCACGAAUGGCGUAAUGAUGGCCAGGCUGUCUCCACCCGAGACUCAGUGAAAUUGAACUCGCUGUGAAGAUGCAGUGUACCCGCGGCAAGACGGAAAGACCCCGUGAACCUUUACUAUAGCUUGACACUGAAUAUUGAGCCUUGAUGUGUAGGAUAGGUGGGAGGCAUCGAAGCGUGGACGCCAGUCUGCGUGGAGCCAACCUUGAAAUACCACCCUUUAAUGUUUGAUGUUCUAACUCGGCCCCAUAAUCUGGGGUGAGGACAGUGUCUGGUGGGUAGUUUGACUGGGGCGGUCUCCUCCCAAAGAGUAACGGAGGAGCACGAAGGUUAGCUAAUCACGGUCGGACAUCGUGAGGUUAGUGCAAAGGCAUAAGCUAGCUUGACUGCGAGAGUGACGGCUCGAGCAGGUACGAAAGUAGGUCUUAGUGAUCCGGUGGUUCUGAAUGGAAGGGCCAUCGCUCAACGGAUAAAAGGUACUCCGGGGAUAACAGGCUGAUACCGCCCAAGAGUUCAUAUCGACGGCGGUGUUUGGCACCUCGAUGUCGGCUCAUCACAUCCUGGGGCUGAAGUAGGUCCCAAGGGUAUGGCUGUUCGCCAUUUAAAGUGGUACGCGAGCUGGGUUUAGAACGUCGUGAGACAGUUCGGUCCCUAUCUGCCGUGGGCGUUGGAAGAUUGAGAGGGGCUGCUCCUAGUACGAGAGGACCGGAGUGGACGCAUCACUGGUGUUCGGGUUGUCAUGCCAAUGGCAUUGCCCGGUAGCUAAAUGCGGAAAAGAUAAGCGCUGAAAGCAUCUAAGCGCGAAACUU